rnacentral:rRNA from 1 species
AGUGAACGCUGGCGGUAGGCCUAACACAUGCAAGUCGAACGGCAGCACAGUAAGAGCUUGCUCUUACGGGUGGCGAGUGGCGGACGGGUGAGGAAUACAUCGGAAUCUACUUUUUCGUGGGGGAUAACGUAGGGAAACUUACGCUAAUACCGCAUACGACCUACGGGUGAAAGCAGGGGAUCUUCGGACCUUGCGCGAUUGAAUGAGCCGAUGUCGGAUUAGCUAGUUGGCGGGGUAAAGUCCCACCAAGGCGACGAUCCGUAGCUGGUCUGAGAGGAUGAUCAGCAAAACUGGAACUGAGACACGGUCCAGACUCCUACGGGAGGCAGCAGUGGGGAAUAUUGGACAAUGGGCGCAAGCCUGAUCCAGCCAUACCGCGUGGGUGAAGAAGGCCUUCGGGUUGUAAAGCCCUUUUGUUGGGAAAGAAAAGCAGCAGGUUAAUACCCCGCUGUUCUGACGGUACCCAAAGAAUAAGCACCGGCUAACUUCGUG